UCUACUACAUCUUGCUCACCUUUUGUGGAAUCAUUUGCUUUCUUGUACGUUCCUGCAGCUACAAGGUCAAUCCUCCUCCUUCUCCCCACUAGCCAGCGUACGCAUUCCUCUAGAAGUGCAGAGAGAUUUGGUUAAGAAACGCUUGCAUUUCAUGAACAAGAGCUACUCAGAUGGGUGGACUGAGCUUUCUAGCCAUAUGACCACGGAUGGCUUAAGCCGAAGGAUUUUUGUUAACAGUCUAUCACAGACAUAAUCCACAAGACUUUCGCCUUCGAGCAUCACAGCAGGCGUCACCCUUUCUGAACUACAAUAUCAGCCCCAACCGGGUGUAAUCGUUUAAGAAGCAAUAGUUCUCUCACACGCACAAUUCACCGGUCGGAUAGGGACCUCAUUGCAAGUGGAAGAGGAGCAUGCCAGCUGUGAACCGAUAUACUCACUAUUUCGCGAUCUCCAAUUGAAGCAGUUGCUGCAAUUUACAACGCAAGAUCGGUCUUGAAAACCAUGAGGGUGGAGUGGAAGUUUCUGAAAGCCUUCUUGUGAUUCGGAACACACAUACCUAGCCCUGUUCGGAGCCGCGAAAAUAGGGCGAGUGCUCGUAGUCUAUGGUGCUGUUCCUGAUUAUAUCUCCAUCAAAGGCUUCACUUGAUCUGACCACCCCUUCACAUGGACGCUCUGCUGUGACAGUUUCCAAGCAUCCAUAACGGUGAUCCAUGAGAUAAUUCUCGUCUUUCAAUGCUCAUCCUAUGGACGCAUCCAUUUCAGGAUCUACUAUGAGAAAAUAUUACUAGAGGGGUUGAGAAACAGCGUCUGGAAGGCGGUGCGGCCGAUAUUGAUCAACUAGUUUAUUCCACAGCUGGGAUAAAUGCACAGAAUUUGCCAUUUUCUCUUGCCAGGCUUAUUGACCAGGAGACCAGCUGUACACAAGACAGACACAAUGAAUCUCUAGGUGCUUUCUACACAACCAACUCAGUGGGCACCUGAUUGGUGUAGUAUUACUCUAUUUGCCUCUUGACAAUGAAACCUCACCACCUCAACGCAAUGAUUUCCCUGCCCCCAAUUGAGUGCCAACUAUUUCUCCCGAAAUUCGGAGCUCUGCUUGUGAUGAAGCCGGAUAUGCUAUAUUGAAUGAUCUGAGCGGAAGUGCCAUUUUCGGAAUCAGGUCUCUGAAAAAAAAAAAAAAAAACAUUUUUUCAAGAAAAGCUACGCAACAACGGAACCUUGCGCCUUCCUCCGAAGGAAAUUUUGGCGAGCUGGGGUUGUUAGCAAAGGGUUCCACAAACUUUCCCAUCACAAAAAAAGGUCAACGAAUAAUAUCUUGAGGAGGUUAUGACAGACAUGAAUUAAGUCUCAUUUUGUAUGCUAUGAUUAUCUAUUGUUGUUAUUUACUUAUUUUUGUACAGUACAAUCACUACAAUGACAACCAAGGGUGUGUGUGGCUCACUGUAAUGUCCAAUGCCUUGCCACUGUUUGUCCACCCUCCCUGAGUGAGUCCGCAUGCUCUUAUAGGUUUUUUGAGAGUUCACUCCCGUUGCAUUUGACAUCUAUACAUGGGCCUUUCAAAGUCAAUGACCAGACUUACUGCCCAGUUCGGAGAGUUGUUAUUCUUUUCAUAUCAAAAGAAAGCUUGAGUUGGC
rnacentral:sRNA from 2 species